CUUCACGGAGCCCAGGAGCAGCGGCUGUUCGGCGUCGCGGUCCUGGCCGUAGGUGGCGAGGAGGGCCUGGGCCUC
rfam:Streptomyces albireticuli strain MDJK11, complete genome.